rnacentral:rRNA from 1 species
UACGUAGGGUGCGAGCGUUGUUCGGAAUUACUGGGCGUAAAGGGCUCGUAGGUGGCCAACUAAGUCAGACGUGAAAUCCCUCGGCUUAACCGGGGAACUGCGUCUGAUACUGGAUGGCUUGAGUUCGGGAGAGGGAUGCGGAAUUCCAGGUGUAGCGGUGAAAUGCGUAGAGAUGUGGAGGAACACCAAUGGCGAAGGCAGCCUUCUGGGCCAACACUGACGCUCAUGCACGAAAGCGUGGGGAGCGAACAGG